AGAAGCUACCCAAAUGAACGGUUCUAACUAAAUUACCUGUCACGUUCUUGAACUAGGAGUACCCAACCCAAGUACACAGUAACAGUAGCGACUAGCGGCUAACAACAACUCUAGCCGCCACUUUACUGUGAAGUGUGAAGAGGGUCUUCUGGUUCUAUUCUUGAUCCCACCGGAGAAACCGUCGCCGGAGUCCUCAACAUCCAUCAAUCUUCUUUUUUCCGUUCAAUUCCCAGCAGCCGGAAAGCACCCAGAACAUCAAUUUCCAUUAUCAGAGCCACCUCUGAGACACCUUUGUCUUCUACUUCAACAAGCACCACCACCACCAAAGAAGCCGAGAAGCUGGAGGCUUCUUUUACUGCUCCACCCAAUUUCAAGCCACUGGAGCCCAAGCCGUUCACAGUGAAGGAA
rnacentral:misc_RNA from 1 species